CAGUAGCCACGGGAAUACGUAGGGUGCAAGCGUUAAUCGGAAUUACUGGGCGUAAAGCGUGCGCAGGCGGUUAUAUAAGACAGAUGUGAAAUCCCCGGGCUCAACCUGGGAAUUGCAGUGGAUACUGGGUCACUAGAGUGUGGUAGAGGAUAGUGGAAUUUCCGGUGUAGCAGUGAAAUGCGUAGAGAUCGGAAGGAACAUCUGUGGCGAAGGCGACUAUCUGGGCCAACACUGACACUGAGGCACGAAAGCGUGGGGAGCAAACAGGAUUAGAUACCCGCGUAGUCCCUGUCUCUUAUAA
rnacentral:rRNA from 1 species